rnacentral:hammerhead_ribozyme from 1 species
UCACUACUGAGGAGUCCCAUACUAGGACGAAACGGCCGUUCAGUAC